AGGUAUCGCGAAGAGUGCUAGGGCUACAAGUAUGUUAUUAUAGUGCUAAUGAAGACAAUAAUAAACCUAACAAAAUUAAGCGUCAUCUCACACACAAAUGAGGAACCAUGCUGCUCGAUUCAUGUUUUGUUUUUCUUAGUUUGACGUUGUAGAGGAUUCGACAAACUUUUUGUUCUUCCGCACCUUUAUAUGCCUCAUUGAGUUUUUUGCCGUCGAUUGCUGUAACAGCUACUUUCAAUGUCAAAUGUCGAGCUCGAGCAUGCUUAAGAGGAAAAUGUUAACAAAAACCUUGAAGAAGCAAAUAUAAUACUGAAACGGAUGAGUCCUAAAUUAUUAUUUUCUAUCGGAUUUAUUUAUUGAUCAGAUCAAGGACAUUUGGAGUCGUAUUUACGGCUGAAGGAUCAGCAAAAAGACAACCCAAAAGUAAUAGUGUCCAUGUUCGAUCUAAGAGAAGUUUCAAGCGAAAUAAAUUUUGUGAGUUGGGAGAACCAUACAGUGACCAUCUCCCUUUCCGUACACCCGCCGGAAGACCCCAUGACAGAUGCAGAAGAAAAGUGUAACUUUUUCACGAGCUUCAUUUGAUUUAACGAGCAUGGUCGUAAAAGAUAUGAUUAAUAAAUAAAUAAUGUUGAA